CGGAUUGAGGGCUGUAACUCGCCCUCAUGAAGCUGGAUUAGGUAGUAAUCGCGUCUCAAAAAGGCGCGGUGAAUAUGCCCCUGCUCCUUGCACACACCGCCCGUCAAACCAUCUUAGUUGUGGGUGGGUGAGGCUACCUCUUAAUGUGGUAUUCGAGCCUGCCUUCGACAAGGAGGGUUAAGUCGUAACAAGGUAUCUGUAGGGGAACCUGCAGAUGGAUCACCUCCUAAGAAA
rnacentral:rRNA from 1 species